GGCGCUUUGGCUGAGUGGUUAUAGCGAUAGACUAGAAAUCUAUUUCCUUCGGGAGCGCAGGUUCGAAUCCUGCAGGCGUCG
rfam:Macrophomina phaseolina MS6 contig00180, whole genome shotgun sequence.